GCUAGCGUAGCUUAACGAAAGCAUAACUUUGAAGCAGUUAAGAUAGGCCAUAAUCAGGCCUCGCGGGCAC
rnacentral:tRNA from 1 species